GAUGAACGCUGACAGAAUGCUUAACACAUGCAAGUCAACUUGAAUUUGGGUUUUUAACUUAGGUUUGGGUGGCGGACGGGUGAGUAACGCGUAAAGAACUUGCCUCACAGCUAGGGACAACAUUUGGAAACGAAUGCUAAUACCUAAUAUUAUGAUAAUAGGGCAUCCUAUAAUUAUGAAAGCUAUAAGCGCUGUGAGAGAGCUUUGCGUCCCAUUAGCUAGUUGGAGAGGUAACGGCUCACCAAGGCGAUGAUGGGUAGCCGGCCUGAGAGGGUGAUCGGCCACAAGGGGACUGAGACACGGCCCUUACUCCUACGGGAGGCAGCAGUGGGGAAUAUUGGACAAUGGACCGAGAGUCUGAUCCAGCAAUUCUGUGUGCACGAUGAAGUUUUUCGGAAUGUAAAGUGCUUUCAGUUGGGAAGAAAUAAAUGACGGUACCAACAGAAGAAGUGACGGCUAAAUACGUG
rnacentral:rRNA from 1 species